CCUACGGGUGGCAGCAGUGGGGAAUAUUGCACAAUGGGGGAAACCCUGAUGCAGCGACGCCGCGUGAGUGAAGAAGUAAUUCGUUACGUAAAGCUCUAUCAGCAGGGAAGAAAUACUGACCUUACGGUCAGCAGACGGUACCUGAGUAAGAAGCCCCGGCUAACUACGUGCCAGCGGCCGCGGUAAUACGUAGGGGGCAAGCGUUAUCCGGAUUUACUGGGUGUAAAGGGAGCGUAGACGGGGCGCCAAGGCUGGAGUGAAAUGCCGCAGCUUAACUGCGGAACUGCUUUGGAAACUGGCGAACUAGAGUGCGGGAGGGGUAAGCGGAAUUCCUAGUGUAGCGGUGAAAUGCGUAGAUAUUAGGAGGAACACCGGUGGCGAAGGUGGCUUACUGGACCGUAACUGACGUUGAGGCUCGAAAGCGUGGGGAGCAAACAGGAUUAGAUACCCUUGUAGUC
rnacentral:rRNA from 1 species